rnacentral:rRNA from 1 species
UACAGAGGGGGCAAGCGUUGUUCGGAAUUACUGGGCGUAAAGGGCGCGUAGGCGGCCCGCUAAGUCGAACGUGAAAUCCCCAGGCUCAACCUGGGAACUGCGUCCGAUACUGGCAGGCUUGAAUCCGGGAGAGGGAUGUGGAAUUCCAGGUGUAGCGGUGAAAUGCGUAGAUAUCAGGAGGAACACCGGUGGCGAAGGCGGGUCUCUGGGCCGAUACUGACGCUGAGGAGCGAAAGCGUGGGGAGCGAACAGG